UACAGAGGUCCCGAGCGUUGUUCGGAUUCACUGGGCGUAAAGGGUGCGUAGGUGGCGGGGUAAGUUUGAUGUGAAAGCUCAGGGCUUAACCCUGAAAUGGCAUUGAAUACUACUUUGCUGGAGGUUUGGAGGGGACUGGAAUUCUUGGUGUAGCAGUGAAAUGCGUAGAUAUCAAGAGGAACACCAGUGGCGAAGGCGAGUCCCUGGACAACACCUGACACUGAGGCACGAAAGCUAGGGGAGCAAACAGG
rnacentral:rRNA from 1 species